UAGAGUUUGAUCCUGGCUCAGAUUGAACGCUGGCGGCAGGCCUAACACAUGCAAGUCGAACGGUAACAGGAAGAAGCUUGCUUCUUUGCUGACGAGUGGCGGACGGGUGAGUAAUGUCUGGGAAACUGCCUGAUGGAGGGGGAUAACUACUGGAAACGGUAGCUAAUACCGCAUAACGUCGCAAGACCAAAGAGGGGGACCUUCGGGCCUCUUGCCAUCGGAUGUGCCCAGAUGGGAUUAGCUAGUAGGUGGGGUAACGGCUCACCUAGGCGACGAUCCCUAGCUGGUCUGAGAGGAUGACCAGCCACACUGGAACUGAGACACGGUCCAGACUCCUACGGGAG
rnacentral:rRNA from 1 species